GUGGAUUAGAUACCCGGGUAGUCCACGCCGUAAACGAUGGGCACUAGAUGCUUGGGGGAGCGACCCUCCGAGUGUCGGCGCUAACGCAUUAAGUGCCCCGCCUGGGGAGUACGGCCGCAAGGCUGAAACUCAAAGGAAUUGACGGGGGCCCGCACAAGCGGUGGAGCAUGUGGUUUAAUUCGACGCAACGCGAAGAACCUUACCUGGGCUUGACAUGCACGGGAAACGCCUCAGAAAGGGGGCGCCCUCUUCGGAGUCCGUGCACAGGUGCUGCAUGUCUGUCGACAGCU
rnacentral:rRNA from 1 species